AUGACGGAUGCCGCUGUGUCCUUCGCCAAGGGCUCCCUGGCAGGUGGAGGGGCCACAGCCAUCUCCAAGACAGCAGUAACACCCAUCAAGUGGGUCAAGCUGCUGCUACAGGUGCAGCAUGCCAGCAAGCAGAUCACUGCAGAUAAGCAAUACAAGGGCAUUAUAGACUGCAUGGUCUAUAUUCCCAAGGAGCAGGGAGUCCUGUCCUUUUGGUGCAGUAACCUGGUCAAUGUCAUCAGAUACUUCCCCCACCCAGGCUCUUAACUUCGCCUUCAAAGAUAAAUACAAGAGGCUCUUCCUGGGUGGUAUGGACAAGAGGUCCCAGUUUUGGUGCUACUUUGCAGGGAAUCUGGCAUCAGGCGGUACCACUGGGGCCAUGUCCUUGUGUUUUGUGUACCCUCUUGAUUUUGCCCAUACUCGUCUAGCAGCUGAUGUGGGCAAAGCUAGAGCUGAAAGGGAAUUCCAAGUCUUUGGUGACCGCCUGGUUAAGAUCUACAAAUCUGAUGAGAUUAAGAGACUGUACCAAGGCUUUAACACGUCUGUGCAAGGUAUUAUCUAUCGAGCUGCCUGCUGCCUACUUCAGUAUCUAUGACACUGCAAAGGGAAAGCUUCCAGAUCCCAAGGACACUCACAUCGUCAUCAGCUGGAUGAUGCACAGACUGUCACUGCCAUUGCUAGGUUGACUUCCUAUCCAUUUAACACCGUUCGCCGCUGCAUGAUGAUGCAGUCAGGAUGCAAAGGAACUGAUAUCAUGUACACAGGCACACCUGACUGCUGGAGGAAGAUUACUCAUGAUGAAGGAGGCAAAAGCUUUCUUCAAGGGUGCAUGGUCCAAUGUUCUCAGAGGCAUGGGUGGUGCUUUUGUGCUUCUCUUGUAUGAUGAAACCAAGAAGUACACUCACUCCUAAUAAAUAACAAAUUUGGAGAAAUAAAAAUAUCUUUAAAAAAAAAAAGAAAUGGCUUCACACCUUGGAAUGACAAAUGCUCAAAUGGCUCCCAGUAAGUGCGCACGGGGACACCACUGUCAGAGUGGUGAGCAAUCAUCUACCACAAAAUGUAACAAAGCAGCAGAGGUGCCUAGGAAGCACGUGAGGACAUACAACCUCUAAGGCCCAUAUAAAUCUGUCAAGAAAACUUUCCGGAGGAAGGAAAGAUAGAAGAAAAGAUUUGGGUAUCAACAUUUGACAUCUCCCUGGUUGGAGCAAGGAGGAAACAGGGCUUUGGAAAGUUCCGAGAGCCAAGGAGAAGCCCCACAACAGUUCGAGAUCUUUCCAGAAUAAUCCACACUCCACCUCCUCAUCCCUCUUACCAAAGGGCGACACUUUGUUCCUGGGAGUAGGGGGAGAUAUAUGCCCAGUACCUGUCCUCAUCCAAC